UACGAAGGGGGCUAGCGUUGCUCGGAAUCACUGGGCGUAAAGCGCACGUAGGCGGAUUUUUAAGUCAGGGGUGAAAUCCUGGAGCUCAACUCCAGAACUGCCUUUGAUACUGGGAAUCUCGAGUCCGGAAGAGGUGAGUGGAACUGCGAGUGUAGAGGUGAAAUUCGUAGAUAUUCGCAAGAACACCAGUGGCGAAGGCGGCUCACUGGUCCGGUACUGACGCUGAGGCGCGAAAGCGUGGGGAGCAAACAGG
rnacentral:rRNA from 1 species